AUAAUGAUACUUCCGUCCGGUCAUAAGUUAGAAGCGGUGAGGGCGGCGGCAUGAGAACCAUGCCGAGGUGAGAGUCCUAUGA
rnacentral:ncRNA from 1 species